UACGUAUGGGGCAAGCGUUAUCCGGAUUUACUGGGUGUAAAGGGAGCGUAGGCGGCGGGGCAAGCCUGAUGUGAAAGCCCGGGGCUCAACCCCGGGACUGCAUUGGGAACCGCCCUGCUGGAGUGCCGGAGGGGCAGGCGGAAUUCCUAGUGUAGCGGUGAAAUGCGUAGAUAUUAGGAGGAACACCAGUGGCGAAGGCGGCCUGCUGGACGGUGACUGACGCUGAGGCUCGAAAGCGUGGGGAGCAAACAGG
rnacentral:rRNA from 1 species